rnacentral:rRNA from 1 species
CCUACGGGACGCACCAGUGGGGAAUAUUGCACAAUGGGCGCAAGCCUGAUGCAGCCAUGCCGCGUGUAUGAAGAAGGCCUUCGGGUUGUAAAGUACUUUCAGCGGGGAGGAAGGCGAUAAGGUUAAUAACCUUGUCGAUUGACGUUACCCGCAGAAGAAGCACCGGCUAACUCCGUGCCAGCAGCCGCGGUAAUACGGAGGGUGCAAGCGUUAAUCGGAAUUACUGGGCGUAAAGCGCACGCAGGCGGUCUGUCAAGUCGGAUGUGAAAUCCCCGGGCUCAACCUGGGAACUGCAUUCGAAACUGGCAGGCUAGAGUCUUGUAGAGGGGGGUAGAAUUCCAGGUGUAGCGGUGAAAUGCGUAGAGAUCUGGAGGAAUACCGGUGGCGAAGGCGGCCCCCUGACAAAGACUGACGCUCAGGUGCGAAAGCGUGGGGAGCAAACAGGAUUAGAUACCCCAGUAGUC